rnacentral:rRNA from 1 species
GACGAACGCUGGCGGCGUGCCUAACACAUGCAAGUGGAGCGACGAACCAGGGCUUGCCCUGGGGCCAAGCCGCGAACGGGUGAGUAACACGUGGGUAACCUGCCCCGAUGACCGGGACAACUCGAGGAAACUCGGGCUAAUGCCGGAUGUACUCCUCGCACAUAUGUGCAAGGAGUAAAGGAAGCUUCGGCCUCCGCUUCGGGAGGGGCCCGCGGCCCAUUAGCUAGUUGGUGAGGUAACGGCUCACCAAGGCAACGAUGGGUAGCUGGUCUGAGAGGAAGAUCAGCCACACUGGGACUGAGACACGGCCCAGACUCCUACGGGAGGCAGCAGUGGGGAAUCUUGCGCAAUGCGCGAAAGCGUGACGCAGCAACGCCGCGUGGGGGAAGAAGGCCUUCGGGUUGUAAACCCCUUUCAGGAGGGACGAAGGUAGGGCAGUGAACAGCUGUCCCUACUGACGGUACCUCCAGAAGAAGCCCCGGCUAACUACGUGCCAGCCGCCGCUGUAA